CUCUAAUAGUGUAUAUUAAAGUUGUUGCAGUUAAAAAGCUCGUAGUUGAAUUUCUGGCCAGAGCUAGCGUUGGCUUCGGUCAUGCUAGUUGGUCAUCCGUUUGCAAACCGUAUUCAUCCUUCACUGGUUGGUACGGGGAGUAAACAUUUUACCUUGAAAAAUUAGAGUGUUUCAGGCAGCUUGCCAGAAUACAUUAGCAU
rnacentral:rRNA from 1 species